rnacentral:ncRNA from 1 species
CUCAACGGGAGCCCGAAGGUAACGGGCUGAGAGCGGACCUGACACCGGUCCGGACCGACUGAACCUGAUCCGGGUAAUACCGGCGACCAAGGGAGAGA